rnacentral:lncRNA from 1 species
CAUCUGCCACCCCCUUCCCUUUUGCCUUCAAUCUUUCCUAGCAUGAAGGUCUGUUCCAUUGAGUUGGCUCUUCACAUCAGGUGGCCAAAGUAUUGGAGCUUCUGCAUCAGCAUUGGUCCUUCCAAUGAAUAUUCAGGAUUGAUUUCCUUUAGGAUCGACUGGUUUGAUCUCCUGGAAAUUCUUGUUGUACCCAUCAGGGGUUUUGGACCCCUACGUGCAGCUGACCCCUGGGCCUUUCCAUCCAAAGCAUCCACACUCUCAUCAGAUGCGGCAUGCUUGACUGUCGAUACCAUCUUCCCAGCUGGACUGAGGUGCCUCGAGGCUGGUGUCGUCCCAGCCACCCCUCUUUAGACUCUAAACUUAACCGGAGGGAAAAGGACUCUCCGUUUGCUCUUCCCUGGUGCCCUGAGCUUCACACACAGGUGGGUUCACUUAAUCUACUCAUUGGCACCGAGGGGCAGAUGGUUUUGGCUCUGUGGGGCAAAUGAGGGAAGUGAAGAUGGCCAAGGGCCUCAGGAUGCAACCUCAUGCCUCCCACCACUCAUGUGACCACAGCGAAACUGGGAACACAUGGUGCGUACCCCUGACAAAGCGCCAGGAAGAGGGGAGAGGGUGCCUGGUCAUCCCAAGGGAAGCCCCUGGAGACUGAUGGGCAUCGGUCCCUCCCUGAGGCUGUCCUGUGGGGAACUGUGAAGAAAGAAGCCAGGGGGACCUCAGCCCCUUCUCUCAUUGAGGGCCAUCUUGGACCACAGGUUCCCUCUCCCCAUCUCUAGCAGAAAGGGUUUGACUGAACAAACUCUGAACCCUCUCACCGCCAUCAACUGAGCUACUUGCGCUUCAUCUACUGCCUCCCACCUGCUUGAGGCUGAGAACUUGCUUCAUCCUUGCCUCCCUGGCCCUCCCCAGCCAUGGGUUAGUUUAAAUAUCUCAGAAUCUGAGCUCUGUCUCAACACAGCAGCCCCAUCUGAGUGCUGUUUGUCUUAAAAUGGGCUCAGAGGGACAUCUCUCAUGGUCCAGUGGUUAAGAAUCCACCGUUCACUGCAGGGAGCUUGGGUUCAAUCCCUGACUGGGUAACUAAGAUCCCAUAUGCCUUGGGGCAACUGAGCCCACGAGCCGCCAACUACAGAGCCCAAGCACUCUGGAGCCCCUCGGCUACAGCUGGAGAGAAGCCUGCACGCCACAAUGAAGAUCCUACGAGCUGCAUCUAAGACUUGACUCAGACAAAAAAAAAAAAAAAAAAAAAAAAACUAACUAAAAUAAAGGAAAUAAACAUUAAAAAAAACCCCUUUCUGUUAAAAAAAAAAAAAAAAAAAGGGCUCACCUAUGGGUUCCUGCCCCUUAGCGGCCUCAUGAUUCUGAUUUCCCCACUGGAAGAAGACAUUCACCCCAAAUACAUGCGAUGGACCCACUGGGCUCUGAUGACAGGACCGCCUACGGUGUGC